rnacentral:lncRNA from 1 species
CAAGGAUGUGCUCCACCAAAAUGAGGAUAUGAAGCCAAUAUAAAGGAAGGCAAUGAAUACAAGAGACAGGCAAAGGGAGUUCCCAGGACAUAAGCAAGGGACGUCCCAGGUAGCAAGUGUGCACCUGGUGUCCAGGGCCAUCUGUCCAGGGAGAAGUCAGCUGCCAUGUCAUGAAGACGCUCGAGUAGCCCUAUGAGAUUCCCAUGUGAACAGAAAUUGAGUCCUCCUGCCAACAAUCAGCCAUAAUUUGCAAGACACGUACAUGAGCUACCUUAGAAGAGAAUCCCUGGGCCCCAGAUAAGCCUUCAGGUGAAUGCAGCCCUGGAAGACAUCUUAACUGCAACCUCAUGAGAGACCCUGAGCCAGAACCAACCAGCUAAGGCACUGCCCGAUUCCUGACCUACACGCAUGGGGGUGCAUGGUGGCUCACUCCUGUAAUGCCAGCACUUUGGGAAGCCGACGUGGGUUGAUCACUUGAGCCCAGGAGUUCAAGACUAGCCUGGCCAACAUGGCGAAAGCCCGUCUCUACUAAAAAUACAAAAAUUAACUGGGCAUGGUGGUACACACCUGUAAUCCCAGCUACCCAGGAAGAUGAGGUACAAAAAUCGCUGGAACCUGGGAGGAGGAUGUUGCAGUGAGCUGAGAUUGAGCCACUGCCCUCCAGCCUGGGCAACAGAGACUCUGUUUCAGAAACAAAAACAAAAACAAAAGCAACAACAAAAAAAAUUCCUAUUGAAAUUUAACUUACAUGUGAUAAAAUUAAUGUAACAUUUUAUAUAUAUUAUAUAUAAAAUAUAUACUUAUAUAUUAUAUAUACUUAUAUAUAAUGCAUUAUAUAUGCUUAUAUAUAAUGUAUUAUAUAUGCUUAUAUAUUAUAUAAUACAUCUUCUAAUAUAUGUGUGUAAUAUAUAAUGUAACCUGUAUAUCAGUUUCACAGAUGUUAACUUAACAAGCAAAGUUCAUUGAACCAUGCAUUUGUAUUCUAUGCACUUUGUUAUAUAUCACAGUUUAAAAGGUCCAAAGUAGAGUAUAGACAGGCACAGUGGUUCAUGCCUGUAAUCCCAGCACUUAGGGAGGCAGAGGCAGGAGGAUAGCUUGAGCUCAGGAGUUCAAGACCUGACGGGGCAACAGAGCAAGAUCCUGUUCUCCACAGACAGGAAAAGAGAAAGUAGAGUAUAAAUACAGCAUAGGAUCUUGAAAAUCAGACUGGAUCAAAAGGUGACCAUGAACUAGCAAUUAAGGUUCUGUUUAAAAACAACUAACACGUGUUGGGACAUAAGAAUUAGGGUAGCACACAAUAAACUAUCUCCUGGCUUAUAUUUUUUAAAUAUCACUGGGUGGGUCAGUAGUCUGAACCUGGUUGCCAAGGCAGUUCCUAAACCUGGGGAGUAUGACUGAUAAGUUUUUCACCUUGACAGCAGAAAGCAGUUGGGCCCAAGAGAGGGUAGGCUUGAUGCUAGCAAAAUUAUGAAGAUGAAGCCUUAAGUACCUUAUCUUGUUUGUGCUUGCCCCUUGCUCUGCUUCUCUACACCUUUGGAUUCUCAGCAGCCUGCUGCUUUUCUACACCUUUGGAUUCUCAGCAGCCUGUGUAUUUGUGUACUUAUCCCCCUUCCCUUCCUGUCAUCUACCCAUUUCCAAAGCCAAGGCAGGUCUAAAGUCCUGCUUUGUUGACUUCUGGUUCAAUCAGGGGUGUUUCUAUCAUAUCACACUGGCUGAAGGUAUUUGUACCUUAACCUUGAUCUCUGAUUAUGAAUGAAAGGUUUUGGGUCCUAUUAAAGAAAUUUUCAUCACCACUGACUAGUUAUUUGAGGUGUAUUUUGGGUGAGGUGGGCCUUGCUGCCCCUGGGGUAGCACCUUGUAAGCUCUGGUAUGGUAUGCCCUGGGGAGAAGGUGUCAGCUAACUUUUAAAAAUCACUGCAGGUGAUUCAGAUAUGACAACCUGUAUCCUGUAUGACAACCUGCCUUCUGUCCACACCCCGUCUCUCAAUGAGAACCACCUUUUACAGGAAGGCCACUCAUAAGCAGAUAUAUCUAUUUAUUCAUUCAUUAAACAACUAUUUCUUGAGCUCUAACUGUGUCUGGCUAUGGGCUAGCACUGGUGACUCAGGGUUGAACAGAAACAGGCAUAGGCCAUGCAUGGUUUAGUGCAAGACACACAUUAAUCAAGGCAAGCAGGUAAAUGUAAAGUUACCAGUCAGGUAAGUGUCGUAAAUCUGGGUUUACUCAACAUAAAGACAGGUGAAUUGAGAGUUAGCUUAAUAAUUAUGAUUUUCAAGUAUAAGAUGAAUAAAUUAUGUAGAGGAGAAUAUUAUACACUGUAAAAAAGACAUAAAAAAGGAAGUUUGCUGUAGCAUAAAGAAUUUAAGGUAAUGGCUACCAUAGUCAGAGGGCCUGCUCUGUGCCAAGCAUGGUGUUAUUUUAUUUUAUUUUUUUAUUUUUGAGACUGAGUCUUGCUUUGUUGCCCAAGCUGGAGUGCAAUGGUACGAUCUCAGCUCACCAUAACUUCUGCCUCCUGGGCUCAAGCAAUUCUCCUGCCUCAGCCUCCCGAGUAGCUGGUACUACAGGCAUGCACCACCACGCCCGGCUAAUUUUUGUAUCUUUAGUAGAGACAGAGUUUCAUGUGAGCCAGGCUGGUCUCGAACUCCUCACCUCAAGUGAUCCACCUGCCUGGGCCUCCCAAAGUGCUGGGAUUAUAGGCAUGAGUCACUGUACCCAGCCUGCUGUUAUUUUAUAUAUUAAAAAUUUUACAUAAAUAUAUUUUACAUAUUUUUAUAUUUUUAUAAAAUAGUGAUUAUAUAUUAUCAUUUAUUAAACUCAUAUAUAUUGAUAAAGCCUCACAGAACCCUACAGAGAUUUAAAAAAGCAAUACUUAGAGAUAUUAGAUAAUCUGUUCUAGGUCACCCAACAUAUAUAUAUUUAAUAACAGCUUUAUUGAUAUAUAAUUCACAUACCAUAACAUUCACCCUUUUAAAAUAUAAAAUUCAGUGGGUUUUAGCAUAUUCAUGUACUUGUAAAUUACCACUAUCUAAUUUUAGAACAUCUUCAUCACCCCCAAAGAAAUCCUGUACACAUUAGCUUCUACCUUUCAUUCCCCCUCACCUCUGCCAGUUCCUGGUAACCACAAAUCUACUUUCUUUCUGUAUGGAUUUGCCUAUUCUGGACAUUUCAGUAAUGUUUUCAAGAUUCAUUCAUGUUAUAUUGUAUAUCAGUACUUUGUUUCUCUUUGUUGCUGAGUAAUAUUCCAUUGUAUGAAUAACCUCAUUUUGUUCACUCUUCAGUUGAUGAACAUUUGAGUUGUCUCCACUUUUUGGCUAUUAUAAAUAAUGCUGCUAUGAAUAUUUAUGUACAAGUUUCCAUGUAGACAUAUGUUUUCAGAUCUCUUGGGUUUAUUUCUAGGAGAAGAAAUGCUAGAUCAUGUGGUAACUCUAUGUUUAACAUUUUGAGAACCGCCAAACUAUUUUCCAAAGUGGCUGCAUCAUUUUACAACCUAUCAGCAAUGUAUGAGGGUUCCCAUUUCUCUACAUUCUUGUUAACAUUAUUUAAGGUAUCCUAGUGAGUGUGAUGUGGUAUCUCAUUGUGGUUUUGAUUUGCAUUUCCUCACCAGCUAAAAUUCAUGAAAUUCAGAUUCAAGUUCAGGUCCAAAGCCAGAGUUUUAGCCACUGUGCAAUACCAUCUCUCUCAUGCUCCUAGAAGUAAGGAAGAAUACGUUGAUAAGAUUGUAACGCACUGGAUUGAAUUUUAAUUAUCAUCUGGGUAUUCACCUCUAGAAGCUUUUAAAAACAAGGGCUUUUUUGUUGUUGUUGUUUUGUUUUUUUGAGACAGUCUUGCUCUGUCACCUAGGCUGUAGUGCAGUGGCGUGAUCUAGGCUCACUGCAACCUGUGCAAUUCUCAUGCCUCAGCCUCCCAAGUUGCUGGGAUUACAGGUGUGUGCCAC